CCGCCCCCCCCACCCCGCUCCGGCCAGAGGUGCCCCGCGCCGUAGGUGCGCCCCGGAAGUGACCCCCUAGGCAAACAGUCUUCGUUCAGUCUCGCAGUCCCAAAGCCGGCUCCCGGGGAGGGACCGAAGCACCAAUACUGUGCGUGUGCCAGGCAGGCUGAGCGCGAGGACAAACGGAAAUCCACCGGAGGACCGGGGCAAGGCCGCCCUCCUCUUUGGGCCCCGGUUUACCCCUUACCGAUCUGUAAAAUGGGAGAGUUGGAGCCAUGCCUCCUCUCCUUCAUGUCUGAUUUAUGUUUGCUAAGAGGAAGAUUCCCUUCCCCUUCUGGCCACACGCCUGCGGGAGGAGGGCAAGACUGGCUUCUCCGCCGGCAAAGAACUUCCAAACAGUGCGGGAUCCCGGGGCCUGGGGGUGCGGGGUGGGGGUUCGCCCCUUCCACCCGCACCCUCCUUGCCUCCUCCCGAGUCUCCCCAAACUCUGGCCGAGGGCGCCCUCUGGUGUCGCCUGUCCUACCUUGCAGUCCUUUACCAGAAUUCCCUAGGGCGUUUUGUAAACUAAAGAAACUAUAAUAGUAAUGAAAAGUAUAAAAUGUAUAGAGUUUUCAAGAAACUGUGUUCUACUUCCAGAAAAUGGUCACUUUAACUUUGUAAAUAUUUAUCUAAAAGGAUAUUUACGAAACUGUGAUAUAUAUUAUUUGAUUGUAUAUGUACAACUGUAAAUACAUUUGUACCUCUCUUGUAUUCUAAAAUAAAAAUUACUUGGAACAUUUAUCACUUA